UACGAAGGGGGCUAGCGUUGCUCGGAAUUACUGGGCGUAAAGGGCGCGUAGGCGGCACUGUUAGUCAGGCGUGAAAUUCCUGGGCUCAACCUGGGGACUGCGCUUGAUACGGCAGAGCUAGAGGAUGGAAGAGGGUCGCGGAAUUCCCAGUGUAGAGGUGAAAUUCGUAGAUAUUGGGAAGAACACCGGUGGCGAAGGCGGCGACCUGGUCCAUUACUGACGCUGAGGCGCGACAGCGUGGGGAGCGAACAGG
rnacentral:rRNA from 1 species